GAUGAACGCUGGCGGCGUGCCUAAUACAUGCAAGUCGAGCGAACGGACGAUAAGCUUGCGUCUCUGAUGUUAGCGGCGGACGGGUGAGUAACACGUGGAUAACCUACCUAUAUGUCUGGGAUAACUUCGGGAAACCGGAGCUAAUACCGGAUAAUAUUUUGAACCGCAUGGUUCAAAAGUGAAAGACGGUCUUGCUGUCACUUAUAGAUGGAUCCGCGCUGCAUUAGCUAGUUGGUAAGGUAACGGCUUACCAAGGCAACGAUGCAUAGCCGACCUGAGAGGGUGAUCGGCCACACUGGAACUGAGACACGGUCCAGACUCCUACGGGAGGCAGCAGUAGGGAAUGUUCGGCAAUGGGCGAAAGCCUGACGGAGCAACGCCGCGUGAGUGAUGAAGGUCUUCGGAUCGUAAAACUCUGUUAUUAGGUAAGAACAGAUGUGGAAUUAGACGAGGACAUCGUGACGGUACCUAAUCAGAAAGCCCCGGCUAACUACGUG
rnacentral:rRNA from 1 species